rnacentral:rRNA from 1 species
UAUUGGACAAUGGGCGAAAGCCUGAUCCAGCAAUGCCGCGUGAGUGAUGAAGGCCUUAGGGUUGUAAAGCUCUUUUACCCGGGAUGAUAAUGACAGUACCGGGAGAAUAAGCCCCGGCUAACUCCGUGCCAGCAGCCGCGGUAAUACGGAGGGGGCUAGCGUUGUUCGGAAUUACUGGGCGUAAAGCGCACGUAGGCGGCUUUGUAAGUUAGGGGUGAAAGCCUGGAGCUCAACUUCAGAAUUGCCUUUAAGACUGCAUCGCUUGAAUCCAGGAGAGGUGAGUGGAAUUCCGAGUGUAGAGGUGAAAUUCGUAGAUAUUCGGAAGAACACCAGUGGCGAAGGCGGCUCACUGGACUGGUAUUGACGCUGAGGUGCGAAAGCGUGGGGAGAAAACAGG